GACGAACGCUGGCGGCGUGCUUAACACAUGCAAGUCGAGCGGAAAGGCCACUUCGGUGGUACUCGAGCGGCGAACGGGUGAGUAACACGUGAGUAAUCUGCCCCUCACUUUGGGAUAGCCACCGGAAACGGUGAUUAAUACCGGAUAUGACCAUAUGUCGCAUGGCGCGUGGUGGAAAGUUUUUCGGUGAGGGAUGUGCUCGCGGCCUAUCAGCUUGAUGGUGAGGUAAUGGCUCACCAUGGCUUCGACGGGUAGCCGGCCUGAGAGGGUGACCGGUCACACUGGGACUGAGACACGGCCCAGACUCCUACGGGAGGCAGCAGUGGGGAAUAUUGGACAAUGGGCGGAAGCCUGAUCCAGCAACGCCGCGUGAGGGAUGACGGCCUUCGGGUUGUAAACCUCUUUCAGUACCGACGAAGCGCAAGUGACGGUAGGUACAGAAGAAGCACCGGCCAACUACGUG
rnacentral:rRNA from 1 species